UCUGAUAGCUGAGGCUGGUCACCUCCUUUGGGAAGGUGAAGCAGCAAGCAACCUUGGAAACCAUCCUGAAACAUAUGAAGAACAGGAAUGUCCCUAGCAGUCAUCAUCAUGGAUUUGUAACAUUCUUGGUCAGUGUAACAGCCUCCUACAAGAAGGCUGCCAGCUGCUCAGAAGGCGGGUUUGAAGAGAAGGACCGGGGCAUCCUGGUGGACAAGCUGAACAGGAGCCAGCAAUGCACCUUCACAGCAGGUGAUGGGCUGAAUAAGGAAAAGCCUUGCCAGCAGAUUGCAGGAGUUGACCCUUCCGCUCUACUCAGCCUUUGUGAGAGCAUGUCUGGAGUGCUAAGUCACUUUUGGACUUACUGGGAAAGACAUUCAAACUGGAGAAACUCCAGCGGUGAAGUUGCAGAAGUGACUGCUACAUGUAUUAUAUGAGAAAGUGUUGAGAGACCUGUGGCUCUUCAGCCUGGAUCAGAAAAGGCUCAGGAUGAAUGUGGACUGAUAAUUCUCGAAAGACAAAGCUAUAAUUUUCCCUCUGAUAGAAGGUUAGAAUCCCUUGUCAUCUGAUGAAUGAAAAGAAAAAUGAAAUAAAUCAAGAGAGUUCUUCAA